rnacentral:lncRNA from 10 species
CCUUAGUUUCCUGUUCUGAAAAUUACAAGCAGCAUAAUCUCAGGUUCUUACAGGAGAAUGAGGGCCUGGAGUUUCCUACUCUGCCAUCUUGCUGCUGUCACCCUCAAUAUCUCUGUUUACCAAGAGGCUCUGAAAAUCUUCCCUGAUGAGUUAAUCUUCACCUACCACAUGAGUCUCCCUGUCUCAUGCUAUGAGGAUCACUUUCGGAGCAUCGUGGGACCUGCCUAACUGGACUUGAGUUUGCCUCACCCUGCCCUAGAUAUCCCUCUAGGGAGACUCUAUCCUUGAUGUUCAGAACUUUUAUAAACCUACCACUGUUGAUUAUUACUCAGACCUUGCUUGCCUCUCCCCUCAAGCCUUUUCUCAACUAGCACAGCCAGUAUCAGGACAUUUAUAAUUCAGCUCUUUAGGACAGAACUCAAUGCCCCAUAUUCUCUUGUGUUUACUAGUUCUUCUCCUCAUAUCACUUUUUCCCAGACAUCCAAUCUCCAAAUCAUUUGUCUUUGACAAACUUUCUUCUUUGCAACUCUAGAACCCUUUGCCACCUUAUUUUAUUCCAUCUCCAUGACAACUCCCAUCUGUUCCUCCAUUACCUAGCUCAAACAAAAUAUUCAUUUUUAUCUCUCUUGUUACUUGCCUUGACCCAGCUCAUCCUCUAACCAAAUUAAUCUGUGUGGUAUCUUUGCCAGUGACCCUUGCCCUCCCCCAUCCAGGCCUUUAUUCUGACUGUUCUCACAGAUGACAACAUUUUUCCCACACCGCUUCUGACUCCAAAGUUGUAUUCAGUUUUCAAAGCCAGUUUUCUAAUCUGUAAAAUGAAAUUAAUACCCAUGUCAUGAAGGAUUAAAUAAAUAAUGUGAGUAAGGCACUUGAAAUAUAAUUAUUGUU